CAGGCCCAGAGUGCAGUUGGGGGGCCCUCACUGUAUGCUGAGGGGAAAGCCCUUGUGCGGAGGAGGUGAGCCAGCAUCCUCCUAGGGAGCAGGGCAGGGGAUUCCUGCUCGUGACAGCAGCUGGGGGAGCAUGCAGACCCCUGGAAUGUGCAAAGCGUGUGUGCGUGGGUCCAUGUGGGUGUGCGUUCUCUAGUCAAUAGGUAACAAAUGCACAGAGAUGCUCAGGUAGGGUCUCUAGGGUGUUUAGAUAUGAGGAAUGGAACUUCCUCCUCGAACGCUCCAGGAGCUCUCAUCCACCUUCUGACGCCGAGUCAAGACUUGGCUAUUCCCAGAAGAUGAGACCAUGUGGAACGGAGGCAGCCCCGAUAACCCUUUAUCCUAUUUCUCUCAUCCCACUGGUGAUCUCCCAAAGCCCAGUGCUUGGGCGAGCGUGCUGAUUCUGCCUGGAGAGACGCACAGGAACGCCCCUCACCACAGGUACAUCAGGAUGAAGGUGCGCUUCCUCAGGCGCGGCGUGCGGAACAGGUCUGCAAAUGAAGGGCUCAGCUUUUCGGUGACAUCCUCUUCGAGGGAAAGCAUCUAGGAGGGAGGGAGAGCAUCAGCCACACUCACGCUGUCAUGAGCAGAGCCACCUGGGAGCCCCUGGGGAGGUGAGCCUUGCCACCACCGUGCUUCACACCCAUGACAAGGGGCACAGUUCUGCUCUUUCCCCUGGCAGCCCCAGACGAAUCUGCACCAGAACCCAGCCCCAGAUUCAGUGAUGUGAGAUACCCCUUCCUAGAUUUCACCUUUAAAUCAGCAGGAGGCAACUUCCCAUUCUUUUGAGCGAUGUGGUCCAUUAUCUUUAUUGCUUCAGUGUUUCUUUUUUGUGAUAACAGCCACCGAGGGGACUCCGGCACACACCUGCGAACACCACUCAUCACUAUCUGGCAUUUUCCUCGGUCUGACGUUCAGCCCUGAGCGGGGUGAUGCUGUUGCUCAGUGCAGCCUGCCCUCCCCACGUUGGGGCUGUAAUCCCUCAAGAGGAUGAGGACCUGGGGUCACUGUGCGCUAGCCCAUGUGGCCCAGGUCACAGCUCUGUGGGUCACUCAGACUCCUAGUGUCACCUAAGAUUUAUAGACCAAAAGGGAGCCAUCGCUUCCUAUGUAGCCUUCCUUCUGUGCAGCAGGGGCCUCAUCUCUCCUGGGGCAGCCUUUGUCCCCCACGGAAAACACUCACAGAGCAGAUGCUCCAUGUAUAUUACCCGAUGACACCAGGACAUCUCCAGGCAAUACAAGGGCUGUUGAACACUUCUCAAAAUAUUUCUCAAACAAAAUAAAAUGUAUUUACUGUCCUUUAAAAUCAAAU
rnacentral:lncRNA from 1 species